AGGUUGACCUCGGAUCAGGUAGGAAUACCCGCUGAACUUAAGCAUAUCAAUAAGCGGAGGAAAAGAAACCAACAGGGAUUGCCUUAGUAGCGGCGAGCGAAGCGGCAACAGCUCAAAUUUGAAAUCUGGCUACUUUGUAGUCCGAGUUGUAAUUUGCAGAGGAUGCUUUUGGUGAGGUGCCUUCCGAGUUCCCUGGAACGGGACGCCAGAGAGGGUGAGAGCCCCGUACGGUUGGACACCAAACCUUUGUAUAGCUCCUUCAACGAGUCGAGUAGUUUGGGAAUGCUGCUCUAAAUGGGAGGUAUAUCUCUUCUAAAGCUAAAUACCGGCUAGAGACCGAUAGCGCACAAGUAGAGUGAUCGAAAGAUGAAAAGCACUUUGAAAAGAGAGUUAAACAGCACGUGAAAUUGUUGAAAGGGAAGCGCCUAUGACCAGACUUGUUUCUGUCAGUUUUGCUUGUUUUCGGACUUGUUUACUCUGUCAGUACAGGCCAACAUCAGUUUGUUGUUUGGGAGAAAGGCUUAGGGAAUGUGGCUCCCUCGGGAGUGUUAUAGCCCUUUGCAUAAUACCAUUCGGCAGACUGAGGACCGCGCUUCGGCAAGGAUGUUGGCGUAAUGGUCAUCAGCGACCCGUCUUGAAACACGGACCAAGGAGUCAACCUUAUGUGCGAGUGCUUGGGUGUAAAACCCCAGCGCGUAAUGAACGUGAACGUAGGUGAGAGCUUCGGCGCAUCAUCGACCGAUUCUGAUGUUCUCGGAUGGAUUUGAGUAAGAGCAUAUAGGGUUGGACCCGAAAGAAGGUGAACUAUGCUUGUAUAGGGUGAAGCCAGAGGAAACUCUGGUGGAGGCUCGCAGCGGUUCUGACGUGCAAAUCGAUCGUCAAAUAUGAGCAUGGGGGCGAAAGACUAAUCGAACCUUCUAGUAGCUGGUUCCAGCCGAAGUUUCCCUCAGGAUAGCAGUGUUGAACUUCAGUUUUAUGAGGUAAAGCGAAUGAUUAGGGACUCGGGGGCGCUAUAUUGCCUUCAUCCAUUCUCAAACUUUAAAUAUGUAAGAAGCCCUUGUUACUUAAUUGAACGUGGGCAUUCGAAUGUAUCAACACUAGUGGGCCAUUUUUGGUAAGCAGAACUGGCG
rnacentral:rRNA from 1 species